UGGGGAAUUUUGGACAAUGGGCGAAAGCCUGAUCCAGCCAUGCCGCGUGAGUGAAGAAGGCCUUCGGGUUGUAAAGCUCUUUUAGUCGGGAAGAAAAGAUCAUAAUGAACAAUUAUGAUUCAUGACGGUACCGACAUAAAAAGCACCGGCUAACUACGUGCCAGCAGCCGCGGUAAUACGUAGGGUGCGAGCGUUAAUCGGAAUUACUGGGCGUAAAGGGUGCGCAGGCGGUUUUGUAAGUCAGAUGUGAAAUCCCCGGGCUUAACCUGGGAAUUGCGUUUGAAACUGCAAGACUAGAGUGCAGCAGAGGGGAGUGGAAUUCCAUGUGUAGCAGUGAAAUGCGUAGAUAUGUGGAAGAACACCGAUGGCGAAGGCAGCUCCCUGGGUUGACACUGACGCUCAUGCACGAAAGCGUGGGGAGCAAACA
rnacentral:rRNA from 1 species